CAGGGAUUGCCCUAGUAACGGCGAGUGAAGCGGCAACAGCUCAAAUUUGAAAUCUGGCCUCGGCCCGAGUUGUAAUUUGCAGAGGAAGCUUUAGGCGCGGCACCUUCUGAGUCCCCUGGAACGGGGCGCCAUAGAGGGUGAGAGCCCCGUAUAGUUGGAUGCCUAGCCUGUGUAAAGCUCCUUCGACGAGUCGAGUAGUUUGGGAAUGCUGCUCAAAAUGGGAGGUAAAUUUCUUCUAAAGCUAAAUACCGGCCAGAGACCGAUAGCGCACAAGUAGAGUGAUCGAAAGAUGAAAAGCACUUUGAAAAGAGGGUUAAAUAGCACGUGAAAUUGUUGAAAGGGAAGCGCUUGUGACCAGACUUGCGCCGGGCUGAUCAUCCGGUGUUCUCACCGGUGCACUCUGCCCGGCUCAGGCCAGCAUCGGUUCUCGCGGGGGGAUAAAGGCCCAGGGAACGUAGCUCCUCCGGGAGUGUUAUAGCCCUGGGUGUAAUGCCCUCGCGGGGACCGAGGUUCGCGCAUCUGCAAGGAUGCUGGCGUAAUGGUCACCAGCGACCCGUCUUGAAACACGGACCAAGGAGUCAAGGUUUUGCGCGAGUGUUUGGGUGUAAAACCCGCACGCGUAAUGAAAGUGAACGUAGGUGAGAGCUUCGGCGCAUCAUCGACCGAUCCUGAUGUUUUCGGAUGGAUUUGAGUAGGAGCGUUAAGCCUUGGACCCGAAAGAUGGUGAACUAUGCUUGGAUAGGGUGAAGCCAGAGGAAACUCUGGUGGAGGCUCGCAGCGGUUCUGACGUGCAAAUCGAUCGUCAAAUCUGAGCAUGGGGGCGAAAGACUAAUCGAACCAUCU
rnacentral:rRNA from 1 species